rnacentral:lncRNA from 1 species
AUCAAGGAGGAAGUGCCAAAAAAAAAAAAGUUGAAUCAUUAUUAAUUGCUUCCUAUGAUUAUUGAUUGAGAACUCGUAAGAUGUAAGAGAAAACCCAAAGAUCAGCAUUAAAAAAGCAGGAAGACGUGUGAAAGUAAGGUUCCUAUUGUGUAAAAGAGUGUUCAGCAAGGAUUGGAGACUAAAGCACAAUAAAUCACUCUUAUGAUGAUUUUGUAAAGCAAUCCAAUCGUAUUCUGUAUAAAGUGAUUGAGAAGAGUUCACGUCGGCCAACUUCACAAUAAUUUUUUGGUGGUUCCAUCUUAACAAUAGCGACCUACUUUUUCAAUUAAAGAAGUUCCAAUGGAAACUCUUUGACGAUUGAGAAUUGGUUGAAUUGAAUACUGUUGUCGUUGCUGAUAAUCUAUGAGUGUAUCAACAUCUAUUGGCUCCGAUCCAGGUGUCUAAGAGGCAUUGAUUAUCGAGUCCGAAUCAGAUGACAGUGACGAUGUAGGUGUUAGCAUCGUGACAUGCAUUACUGCUCUCGACCACCUUUUGCAGGAUAUGGAUGAAGCAUCACAUAACUUGCCCAAAAUUAUAUCAUCAGCAUUACUUAACAAUCGAGAGGUACUUUGUCAAACGACAGAUAUCAGGAAACGUAUUUGUUCCAGUUCAAGGCUUUUAUCAAGUCAUACGAGAAAAACAUAGACCUUCACGAUUCACAAGAUACUUAUAAUGAAGAACUAAUUCAAUCUUUGAAACUAUCAGAAUUACCGUCUUUGGAUCCUGGUUUACGCUCACAAAAACUAAAGUGAUCCCAGCGCGCCGAUAUUUUAUACUUAAAGGCCAAUAUCAGCCAAAACUCAUGACAUUCCCCAAGAAAAAUUCAAUUUCGACACAAGAACAAAUACAACUUUCUGUUCUAUGAUACAACGAGUUUCCGAUGAUCCAUAAUGCCACGUUGAUGUGCUUGUUGAUAAGUCUCGCCGUAAUCUACAAAAAUAGAUCGACUUGAGAAUAAUAAAGUUGUAAAAAUUUUGAUAGAUGCUGUAAAAACGUUAGCAAGACAGAAAUUUCGUGGAAAUGGCUUAAUGAAUGUAAUGGAAACUGCAACCAAAUUGUAAAUCUUUUAUCUUGAAAUUGUCUGACGAUAAAACGCUGGCUAGAAAAUAGAAACGGGUGAGUGCCUUUUGUCUCCUAUAUGUAAAGUCAAUUCCAGAACGAGAUGAUAGACAUCCAGGGUACUGAGGAUGAUUAUAAACGAGAUUAAUGCUGCAGGAAUAUUCGGAACAUCUGCUGACAUACCACUUGAUCUAUCUUUUAUGAUCAAAUGAUUGUUGUUGCAAGAUACGUGAAAGAUAUAACACCUUAUGAACGCUUGUUGGCUCUUAAACAUGUAAAGGGUAAAAUCGGGGAAGAUACAGACAAUGAUAUUAUUUCAGUAACAUCAAACAAUCAACUGGAUACAAACAAGAUAGUUUCACAGUCAUACGAUUUUGCUUCUACAAUGUCUGGCCAGUAUAACAGAGCAUAAAAGAAACUGCAUUAACUGAUAGGACGAAAUGUACCAUACAUCCCGUGUCAGAGUCACCGGAGCAAUACCGUAGUGGAACAUGUGUGUAUUGACAGAAGCGUUUAAAAAAGCAAUGAAAGACAUCGAAGAUUCGUUAAAACUUCGUAACUUGUCAAAGACAAGAUGGCUCGCUCGUUCUGAAUACAUUUGUGAUGUAUGGAUUAGUUUUGACCCUUUAAUUGAAGCAUUAAGAUUACUUUCUUGUUCAAAUCGGUUCAAUACAAAAAUGACAAACCUUGCAACAUUUUUUCUUGGUAAUUUGCCAAGCAUGGACUUCGUUAUUUCGCUGAUUUUCAUUAAAAAUAUUAUGCAAAGAAUACACCAGAUGACUCAAAUCUUAAAAAUAGAGGAACUUAACAUCAUUGAUGCAACUGAAGUAAUCAAAUCAACAGUCAAAAACUUGCCAAUGAUAAGAGAUGACACCAACGCUAUAAAUGAGGAAAUUGUAGCAGCUGUAAUGUUUUUGAAGAAAAUCAUUGUUGAUGAUCCUGAAGCAGAAUUUAACAAGAAACAUCGAUACAGAAAACAACUUUCAUGAUUUGAUAAAAAUAAUGAUACCAAAUUAAAUUUAUGAUGACACAAUUUUACAGGAAAAAAUGUAUUUAAUUUUUCAAUACCCUUAUUGUAGAACACUGCGAAAGUUUAAAGAAAAGUCUUGAUGUGUUGAAACCCAUUUUCUCAAUUCUAAAGCCAAUUCUUGCAGUUCCAUCAGUUGAAGAUAUCAACAACCUUCUUAAAUUCUUUCCAAAGGAAGGCUCUUGAUGCGAGUGGAGUUAUUAUUUUUUUUUUUAAACUUAUACUUUGUUCGCAUAAUUAUAUACUCAUCUAAAUUUAAAAUAUAUAUCUCAAAUUACUCAAAUUGUUUUGUUGUUAUGUUUAAUAUGUAUAAAUUUUAAGAUAAUAACUUAAGUAUAAUAUUCUGAUAACCCUAAGUAAACAUAAUAUACUUUAAUAUAUUUACAUAUACCA